rnacentral:rRNA from 1 species
GGAGUUUGGGCCGUGUCUCAGUCCCAAUGUGGCCGUUCAACCUCUCAGUCCGGCUACUGAUCGUCGACUUGGUGGGCCGUUACCUCACCAACUAUCUAAUCAGACGCGAGGCCAUCUUACAGCGGAUUGCUCCUUUGAUAUUAAGAGGAUGUCCUCUCAAUAUGUUAUGCGGUAUUAGCAGUCGUUUCCAACUGUUGUCCCCCUCUGUAAGGCAGGUUCCUCACGCGUUACUCACCCGUCCGCCACUAAGUAUUACAAGAAAUUCCUGUAGCAAGCUACUCUCGUUUCAGCGCAAUACUCCGUUCGACUUGCAUGUGUUAGGCACGCCGCCAGCGUCGUCCUCGAGCACUGAUCAACUACU